GUAGGUGACCUGCGGAGGGAUCAUUACAGAGUUCUCGCCCUCGCGGGUAGAUCUCCCACCCCCUGUUAUCGUUACUGUGUUGCUUUGGCGGGCUGCCAGGCCUGGCCUGGCCGCCGGCUCCGGCUGGCGCGCGCCCGCCAGAGGCCCGAUAAAUCCUGACUGUCGGUGUCGUCUGAGUACUAUUACAAUAGUUAAAACUUUCAACAACGGAUCUCUUGGUUCUGGCAUCGAUGAAGAACGCAGCGAAAUGCGAUAAGUAAUGCGAAUUGCAGAAUUCAGUGAGUCAUCGAAUCUUUGAACGCACAUUGCGCCCUGUGGUAUUCCGCAGGGCAUGCCUGUUCGAGCGUCAUUUCAACCCUCAAGCUCUGCUUGGUGUUGGGCCCUGCCCGCUCGCGGCCGGCCCUAAAGACAGUGGCGGUUGCGUCUAGCUCCAAGCGUAGUACAACUCUCGCUCUGGGCCUGGGCGGCAGCCUGCCAGAACCCCCCUUUCUGUGGUUGACCUCGGAUCAGGUAGGGAUACCCGCUGAACUUAAGCAUAUCAAUAAGCGGAGGA
rnacentral:rRNA from 1 species